UUGAACGCUGGCGGCAUGCCUUACACAUGCAAGUCGAACGGCAGCACGGGGGCAACCCUGGUGGCGAGUGGCGAACGGGUGAGUAAUACAUCGGAACGUACCCUGAAGUGGGGGAUAACGUAGCGAAAGUUACGCUAAUACCGCAUAUUCUAUGAGUAGGAAAGCAGGGGAUCGCAAGACCUUGCGCUUUAGGAGCGGCCGAUGUCGGAUUAGCUAGUUGGUGAGGUAAAGGCUCACCAAGGCGACGAUCCGUAGCGGGUCUGAGAGGAUGAUCCGCCACACUGGAACUGAGACACGGUCCAGACUCCUACGGGAGGCAGCAGUGGGGAAUUUUGGACAAUGGGGGCAACCCUGAUCCAGCCAUUCCGCGUGAGUGAAGAAGGCCUUCGGGUUGUAAAGCUCUUUCAGCUGGAACGAAACGGUAGUCUCUAACAUAGGCUGCUAAUGACGGUACCAGCAGAAGAAGCACCGGCUAACUACGU
rnacentral:rRNA from 1 species